UACGUAGGGGGCAAGCGUUGUCCGGAAUCAUUGGGCGUAAAGAGCGUGUAGGCGGCUUGGUAAGUCCGCUGUGAAAGUCCAGGGCUCAACCCUGGAAAGCCGGUGGAAACUGUCAAGCUUGAGUCCGGAAGAGGCGAGUGGAAUUCCUGGUGUAGCGGUGAAAUGCGCAGAUAUCAGGAGGAACCCCAAUGGCGAAGGCAGCUCGCUGGGACGGUACUGACGCUGAGACGCGAAAGCGUGGGGAGCAAACAGG
rnacentral:rRNA from 1 species